CAAACCCUAGCCUCCACUUUCCCCAAAUUCUCGAUCUGAAAUCCCCACCUUUCUUCUCCAAAAUUUCCACGUGUGUUCUUCCAAAAUCCCCAACUUUUUCCUGCUUUUUCCUCUCUAAUUUCUGGUCGCCGGCCGCUUUUCUCUCCGUCGCUUGCCUUGUUUCCGCGUCGCUCCUCCGACAGGCCCUGCCUUGAUCUCCGCGCGCAGGAGAGGAGCUUCCUCCGCCCGGUUUCUUUUUCGCUCGCUGCACCGCACCUCGUCGCUCGCGCCAAACCACAACGCCGCCGACAGCCGCAGGUCCACCAGCUUCCGCACCGCGCCAAGCAUCGCGCCACAUCACAGCAACGCAGCAGCAUAUCUCCGCUUGAUUCCGUGCACGUUAUCGCGACGCCGCUGUCGACACGGCAACGAGCGCACGUUAUCGAUCUCUGCGUGUGGAAACUCUUCGAAAAAAAUUAGAGAACCAUGGCCUCGACAAUGUACGUUUGCCUGUGUACGCGCCUCGGUUUACCCAUCUGCAGAUCUGUUCUGCUUGCUCGACCUAUGAACGGAGGGAACCAAUCUCCCCGGCCGCUGGGCACUACGGCGGGGCAUGUGCCGUUCCAGGACCUCUUAUACCGCGGGCUGGAAGAAGGCCUCGUCGUCGCACCACCGCCACGUCCAAGGACGAGCCACACCGCCGGGAGCCGAUACAAUAUGUUCGUCGGGAUGUUUUCUGCCACAUUUGCUAUCAUAUUGGCAGCGGUAAUUAUCUGGGCGACAAUUUCGCCUCGAAGCCCUGAACAUUUGAAUCGCUAUCAAAUGACAGCACUUCUAGUUUUUGAGAUUACGGUGACGGUGCUUGGUUAUUUGAUUGCCAGAGAUCCAGAUGACACAAUAUAAUGCCAACACUUUACCUUCUCGUACAACUGUCCAACAGAGAAAGAUUACGAUACAAAAGGUUCAAUGUAAAGAGAGUAGAUCGCGUUCCUGCCUCCUGUCCACCAGAGACUAAACUUAAGGGAAUAAAUCAUUGGUCCAGUGGCACGCGGGUGGCUGUACCUCCACUUCAAGGGAUUGAAUCCAGAUUUGAUGUCUUGUAUUUAUCAGUACAAGGUAGCUUUUAGUUCUUUAACAAGUUGCUAGACGGAGCAGAAUCAUUUCAUACAUUUUCUUGUGAUCGAUAUUAAAGAGUUAUCUGUGUGGAAAAAAGUACUUCCACUGCUAUAACACUA